CCACUAGCUCCACCUGGAAGCCUCUUUCUUGGGAGACAUCUGGUCAGAUGAGACUCCAGCUUUUGCUUUGAUUGCAGGACUUCUCAGAGCCUUUGAUGUGGCCAUGAGAAUGAAAAGCAGGUGAGGUAGGGAGUCCCUGUUGGGCCAGCACACUGAGAACCCUGGGCCUGAUACUCCGAGGCAAGAACUGAGUCUAUUUCUCCCUGUGUCUCCAGGCCGCUUUGGCACAGAGUGGCCCCUAGGUGUGUCCUGCCCACAGCAGGCGCCUGGCAGAGACCAGUCAUUAUAAACAAAACUUGGCUAAAGGAAUUCCCCGAUGGUCCAGUGGUGAAGAAUUCAGUUGCCAACUCAGGAGGACACCAGCUGGAUCCCUGGCCCGGCGAGAUCCCACAUGCUGCCGGGUUACUAAGCCCACGUGCCACAGCUACUGAGCCUAUGCUCCACAGCCCGUGCUCUGCAGCAAGACAAGCCCACACACCACAAAUGGAGAGUAGCCCCCACAGCAGCGAAGACCCAGCACAGCCAAAAACAAACGGGCUAAAGAGAAGAGCUGAAACAAAGAUAUGUUAAAGCUCAUAGGAAGGGUCAGAUCCUCCGCUUAGAGGAUCAGGGAAGACUGCCUGGAGGAGGUGACAUCGGAACUGAGCCUAAAGGGCACAGAGACGAUUGCAUCUCUCAGCCUUGCAGCGGGGGCAGCAGGUGACUGGUCCUGACGAGCACGAAGUGGGAAGAAAGGAGUGGUGGAAAAUUCUGGAUGAUGCUCCAUCCUCUCUCCCCUGGCUCUGGAGGCUGAGGAGACUGCAUGUACUGGAUGAACAGUUACAGCUGGACUGGUUGGAUCUCCUUGCAGUCCAAGGGACUCUCGAGAGUCUUCUCCAACACCACCGUUCAAAAGCAUCAAUUCUUUGG
ensembl:lncRNA